rnacentral:rRNA from 1 species
CACGAAUUAAGAUGAGCUAAUUAAUUGUAAAUAUUAGUUUACGGGAUGUAGCAAAAUUACGCUAAACUUUUAAUUAGGGGUGAUAGGCUAAUCAAGUCUUAUUAUAACUUGAUGUUUAUGAAAUGUAUUUAGUACACAUUCAACUAACGAGCGCUAAGGUUCUUUAGAUGUAUAAAAUGAAGAGGUUAUACUAUUGUUUUGUUAUAACUAACAAACGAAGUAUAUAAUAGAAUAUUAAUUUUUAAUAGUCUUAUGGAUAUUAAUAAACUAUAUACAAUUUGUCUAAUAUAUAAAUAAUGUUAUUAUUAGUAAUAAAAUAAAUACUUUAAAUGAACUCGGCAAUAUUUUCCCCAACUGUUUAACAAAAACAUAGCUAGUAGUAAUUUAUUACUAGUAUUUUCUGCUCAAUGAAUAUUAAAUAGCCGCAGUACCCUGACUGUGCUAAGGUAGCAUAAUCAAUUGGCUUGUAAUUUAAGUCUUGUAUAAACGAAACCAUGUGGGAAAAACUGUAUAAAAAGUAUAUUAUAAAAUUACUCUGUAAGUGAAAAUACUUACGAAUAAUUAUAAGACGAGAAGACCCUAGAAAUUUUAAGUAGUUGUCAUUACACGUUUUUGUUGGGGCAACAUUGUAACACUUAACUUACAAUCAUAUACAAGAAACUUAUUGUUAGAUUAAAUUACUCUAGGGAUAACAGCGUAAUGUAUUAACGUUUGCGACCUCGAUGUUGGAUUAGGAAAUAUAAGCUUAGAA